AUACGGAGGGUGCAAGCGUUAUUCGGAAUCACUGGGCGUAAAGCGCGCGUAGGCGGCUGAUUAAGUCGGAUGUGAAAUCCCUGGGCUCAACCUAGGAACUGCAUCCGAUACUGGUCAGCUAGAGUUUUGGAGAGGUAAGUGGAAUUUCCGGUGUAGCGGUGAAAUGCAUAGAGAUCGGAAGGAACACCAGUGGCGAAGGCGACUUACUGGCCAAAAACUGACGCUGAGGUGCGAAAGCGUGGGUAGCGAACAGGAUUAGAUACCCUAGUAGUCC
rnacentral:rRNA from 1 species